CAGCUGCUUUGCAUGUGGGAGUGCACAUAGUGCAUGCAUGCAGCUGCUUUGCAUGUGAGUGUGUGGCCAUGUUGCAUGCAUGCAGCUCCUUUGCAUGUGAGUGUGCCCAUGGUGAAUGCAUGCAGCUGCUUUGCACGUGAUUAUGUGCACAUUGUGCAUGCAUGCAGCUCCUUUGAAUGUGUGUGUGCACGUGGUGCAUGCAUGCAGCUCUUUUGCAUGUGUGUGUGCACAUCGUGCAUGCAUGCAGCUCCUUUGCAUGUGGGUCUGAACAUACUGCAUGCAUGCAUCUGAUUUGCAUGUGAGUGUGCACAGUGCAUGCAUGCAGCUCCUUUGCAUGUGGGCGUGCACAGCUGCUUUGCAUGUGUGUGCACAUAAUGCAUGCGUGCAGCUGCUUGCAUGUGUGCGUGCACAUCGUGCAUGCAUGCAGCUCUUCUGUAUGUGGUUUGCAUAUAAUGCAUGCAUGCAGCUCCUUUGCUUGGGGGUGUGUGCAUAUAGUGCAUGCAUGCAGCUGCUUUGCGUGUGUGUGUGCACGUGGUGCAUGCAUGCAGCUCUUUUGCAUCUGUGUGUGCACAUAGUGCAUGCAUGCAGCUCCUUUGCAUGUGAGUGUGUCCAUAAUGCAUGCAUGCAGCUGCUUUGCACGUGAGUGUGUGCACAUAGUGCAUGCUUGCAGCUGCUUUGCAUGUGGGUGUGUGAACAUUGUGCAUGCAUGCAGCUCCUUUGCAUGUGAGUACAUGCACAGUGCAUGCAUGCAGCUCCUUUACAUGUGUGUGUGCACAGUGCAUGCAUGCAGCUCCUUUGCAUGUGGGUGUGUGCACAGUGUGUGCAUGCAUGCAGCUGCUUUGCAUGUGGGUGUGCGCAUAGUGCAUGCAUGGAGCUCCUUUGAUUGCCGUGUGUCUGUUUGCACAUGGUGCCGAUGCAUGCAGCUCCUUUGCAUGUGUGUGUUUGCAAGGGGGCUGUGAGAACCCCCUGGUGCCACCCCAUGGCAUCGGUGUCCUCUUGUUGGCACCCCAUGGCAUCGGUGCCCCUUGCUGCCACCCCAUUGCGUUGGGGACCCCUUGUUGCCACCCCAUGGCAUCAGCGACACCGUGGUGCGACCUCAUGGCAUUGGGA
rnacentral:lncRNA from 1 species